rnacentral:rRNA from 1 species
GAUGAACGCUGGCGGCGUGCCUAAUACAUGCAAGUCGAGCGAACAGACGAGGAGCUUGCUCCUCUGACGUUAGCGGCGGACGGGUGAGUAACACGUGGAUAACCUACCUAUAAGACUGGGAUAACUUCGGGAAACCGGAGCUAAUACCGGAUAAUAUAUUGAACCGCAUGGUUCAAUAGUGAAAGACGGUUUUGCUGUCACUUAUAGAUGGAUCCGCGCCGCAUUAGCUAGUUGGUAAGGUAACGGCUUACCAAGGCAACGAUGCGUAGCCGACCUGAGAGGGUGGUCGGCCACACUGGAACUGAGACACGGUCCAGACUCCGACGGGAGGCAGCAGUAGGGAAUCUUCCGCAAUGGGCGAAAGCCUGACGGAGCAACGCCGCGUGAGUGAUGAAGGUCUUCGGAUCGUAAAACUCUGUUAUUAGGGAAGAACAAAUGUGUAAGUAACUAUGCACGUCUUGACGGUACCUAAUCAGAAAGCCACGGCUAACUACGUG